rnacentral:rRNA from 1 species
GAUGAACGCUGGCGGCGUGCCUAAUACAUGCAAGUCGAGCGAACAGACGAGGAGCUUGCUCCUCUGACGUUAGCGGCGGACGGGUGAGUAACACGUGGAUAACCUACCUAUAAGACUGGGAUAACUUCGGGAAACCGGAGCUAAUACCGGAUAAUAUAUUGAACCGCAUGGUUCAAUAGUGAAAGACGGUUUUGCUGUCACUUAUAGAUGGAUCCGCGCCGCAUUAGCUAGUUGGUAAGGUAACGGCUUACCAAGGCAACGAUGCGUAGCCGACCUGAGAGGGUGAUCGCCCACACUGGAACUGAGACACGGUCCAGACUCCUACGGGAGGCAGCAGUAGGGAAUCUUCCGCAAUGGGCGAAAGCUUGACGGAGCAACGCCGCGUGAGUGAUGAAGGUCUUCGGAUCGUAAAACUCUGUUAUUAGGGAAGAACAAAUGUGUAAGUAACUAUGCACGUCUUGACGGUACCUAAUCAGAAAGCCACGGCUAACUACGUG